AGGAGGUAGAGCAGGUCUCUCUCGGGUGAGGAGGUAGAGCAGUCUCUCCUGGGUGAGAGGUAGAGCAGGUCUCUGGGUGAGAGGUAGAGCAGGUCUCUGGGUGAGAGGUAGAGCAGGUCUCUGGGUGAUGAGGUAGAGCAGGUCUCUCUCUCUGGUAGGCGGUAGAGCAGUCUCUCUCUCUCGGAUGAGGCGGUAGAGCAGGUCUCUCUCUCUGGGUGAGGAGUGGAGCAGGCCUCUCUCUGGGUGAGGCGGUAGAGCAGGUCUCUCCUGGGUGAGGCGGUAGCGGUCUCUCGGUGGAGUAGGCAGGUCUCUGGGUGAGGAGGUAGAGCAGGUCUCUGGGUGAGGGGGUAGAGCAGGUCUCUGGGUAGGGG
rnacentral:lncRNA from 1 species